GACAGAGGCCUCGAGCGUUAGGCGGAAUCACUGGGCUUAAAGCGUGUGUAGGCGGGCCCGUAAGUGUCUUGUGAAAUCCCCGGGCUCAACCCGGGAACUGCGUCCGAUACUGGAAGGCUUGAAUCCGGGAGAGGGAUGUGGAAUUCCAGGUGUAGCGGUGAAAUGCGUAGAUAUCUGGAGGAACACCGGUGGCGAAGGCGACAUCCUGGACCGGUAUUGACGCUGAGGCGCGAAAGCCAGGGGAGCAAACGGG
rnacentral:rRNA from 1 species